UACGUAGGGUGCAAGCGUUGUCCGGAAUUAUUGGGCGUAAAGAGCUUGUAGGCGGUUUGUCGCGUCUGCUGUGAAAAUCCGGAGCUCAACCCCGGACUUGCAGUGGGUACGGGCAGACUAGAGUGUGGUAGGGGAGACUGGAAUUCCUGGUGUAGCGGUGAAAUGCGCAGAUAUCAGGAGGAACACCGAUGGCGAAGGCAGGUCUCUGGGCCACUACUGACGCUGAGAAGCGAAAGCAUGGGGAGCGAACAGG
rnacentral:rRNA from 1 species